rnacentral:rRNA from 1 species
GGGGAGGUCUAGGUUUAAGCACCUAAACGGCGAAACUGCGAAUGGCUCAUUAAAUCAGUUAUCGUAUAUUUGAUAGUACCUACUACAUGGAUAACCGUGGUAAUUCUAGAGCUAAUACAUGCUUAAAAUCCCGACUUCGGAAGGGAUGUAUUUAUUAGAUUAAAAACCAAUGCCCUUCGGGGCUCACUGGUGAUUCAUAAUAMYUUCUCGAAUCGCAUGGCCUUGCGCCGGCGAUGGUUCAUUCAAAUUUCUGCCCUAUCAACUUUCGACGGCUGGGUCUUGGCCAGCCGUGGUUACAACGGGUAACGGAGGGUUAGGGCUUGACCCCGGAGAAGGAGCCUGAGAAACGGCUACUACAUCCAAGGAAGGCAGCAGGCGCGCAAAUUACCCAAUCCCGACUCGGGGAGGUAGUGACAAUAAAUACUGAUACAGGGCUCUUUUGGGUCUUGUAAUUGGAAUGAGUACAAUUUAAAUCCCUUAACGAGGAACAAUUGGAGGGCAAGUCUGGUGCCAGCAGCCGCGGUAAUUCCAGCUCCAAUAGCGUAUAUUAAAGUUGUUGCAGUUAAAAAGCUCGUAGUUGAACCUUGGGCCUGGCUGGCCGGUCUGCCUCACCGCAUGCACUGGUCCGGCCGGGCCUUUCCCUCUGGGGAGCCGCAUGCCCUUCACUGGGUGUGUCGGGGAACCAGGACUUUUACUGUGAAAAAAUUAGAGUGUUCAAAGCAGGCAUAUGCUCGAAUACAUUAGCAUGGAAUAAUAGAAUAGGACGUCGCGGUUCUAUUUUGUUGGUUUCUAGGACCGCCGUAAUGAUUAAUAGGGACAGUCGGGGGCAUCAGUAUUCAAUCGUCAGAGGUGAAAUUCUUGGAUCGAUUGAAGACUAACUACUGCGAAAGCAUUUGCCAAGGGAUGUUUUCAUUAAUCAGGAACGAAAGUUAGGGGAUCGAAAACGAUCAGAUACCGUUGUAGUCUUAACCAUAAACUAUGCCGACUAGGGAUCGGGCGGUGUUAUUUCUUGACCCGCUCGGCACCUUACACGAAAGUAAAGUUUUKGGGUCUSKGGGGGGAGUAUGGUCGCAAGGCUGAAACUUAAAGAAAUUGACGGRARGGCACMACAAGGGGUGGAGCCUGCGGCUUAAUUUGACUCAACACGGGGAAACUCACCAGGUCCAGACACAACUAGGAUUGACAGAUUGAGAGCUCUUUCUUGAUUUUGUGGGUGGUGGUGCAUGGCCGUUCUUAGUUGGUGGAGUGAUUUGUCUGCUUAAUUGCGAUAACGAACGAGACCUUAACCUGCUAAAUAGCCCGUGCCGCCUAGGCGGCACGCCGGCUUCUUAGAGGGACUAUCGCUCAAAGCCCCGAAG